GACGAGCGCUGGCGGCGUGCUUAACACAUGCAAGUCGAACGAAGAGCGAUGGAAGCUUGCUUCUAUCAAUCUUAGUGGCGAACGGGUGAGUAACGCGUAAUCAACCUGCCCUUCAGAGGGGGACAACAGUUGGAAACGACUGCUAAUACCGCAUACGAUCUAAUCUCGGCAUCGAGGAUAGAUGAAAGGUGGCCUCUACAUGUAAGCUAUCACUGAAGGAGGGGAUUGCGUCUGAUUAGCUAGUUGGAGGGGUAACGGCCCACCAAGGCGAUGAUCAGUAGCCGGUCUGAGAGGAUGAACGGCCACAUUGGGACUGAGACACGGCCCAGACUCCUACGGGAGGCAGCAGUGGGGAAUCUUCCGCAAUGGACGAAAGUCUGACGGAGCAACGCCGCGUGAGUGAUGACGGCCUUCGGGUUGUAAAGUUCUGUUAAUCGGGACGAAAGGCCUUCUUGCGAAUAGUGAGAAGGAUUGACGGUACCGGAAUAGAAAGCCACGGCUAACUACGU
rnacentral:rRNA from 1 species